AAACCGUUUAGAAGUAAACCUGAGAAACCCAAAAGAUCGAAUGAGGAGAUUCAUCGUCAAAAUAUGUGGUAUNAAUGCUAAUAAUGAUAUGGUAAAUAAUCCUUGUGGUUACUAUACUGUACAUUUUAGUAUUAUUUUUGCCAUGUAUGUCGGCGUGCACUUCUCCUCUAGUAGAACGUCGCGACCCGUUAGAUGUUGAUCUAUGGCCUGAUUGAUUGUCUCUUUCUGCUUGCAGUUGGAGAUCAUUAGUGUUCCUGAUCAACUGUUUGACGGUACUCGCACGGUAUACAGUCGCUAUUAUUAGCGUUAGAAUCAUUACAAGUGCGGUCAAUAUUUGGCAGUUCGGAUCUGAUGCCGACGUCGAAAUUGACCAACUGUUGGUGAUGAUUUUCUUUAACUGACUUUAAUACCGGUCAGCGACGCUACUGCUUUGGGUACUUUUCAGGA
rnacentral:rRNA from 1 species